rnacentral:tRNA from 1 species
GGACUGUGGCUCAGUGGCAGAGUGCUUGCCUUGCAUGUGUGAGGCACUGGGUUCGAUCCUCAACACCA